rnacentral:rRNA from 1 species
AUACGGGAGGCAGCAGUGAGGAAUAUUGCGCAAUGGGGGAAACCCUGACGCAGCAACGCCGCGUGGAGGAUGAAGGCCUUCGGGUUGUAAACUCCUGUCUUCGCUGACGAUAAUGACGGUAAGCGAGGAGGAAGCCACGGCUAACUACGUGCCAGCAGCCGCGGUAAUACGUAGGUGGCGAGCGUUGUCCGGAAUUACUGGGCGUAAAGGGUGCGUAGGCGGGUUUUUAAGUCAGAUGUGAAAUUCCGGGGCUUAACUUCGGAACUGCAUUUGAAACUGGAGGCCUAGAGUGCAGGAGAGGAAAGCGGAAUUCCUAGUGUAGCGGUGAAAUGCGUAGAUAUUAGGAAGAACACCAGUGGCGAAGGCGGCUUUCUGGACUGUAACUGACGCUGAGGCACGAAAGCGUGGGGAGCAAACAGGAUUAGAUACCCUGGU